GACGAACGCUGGCGGCGUGCUUAACACAUGCAAGUCGAACGGAAAGGCCCUGCUUUUGUGGGGUGCUCGAGUGGCGAACGGGUGAGUAACACGUGAGUAACCUGCCCUUGACUUUGGGAUAACUUCAGGAAACUGGGGCUAAUACCGGAUAGGAGCUCCUGCUGCAUGGUGGGGGUUGGAAAGUUUCGGCGGUUGGGGAUGGACUCGCGGCUUAUCAGCUUGUUGGUGGGGUAGUGGCUUACCAAGGCUUUGACGGGUAGCCGGCCUGAGAGGGUGACCGGCCACAUUGGGCCUGCGAUACGGCCCAGACUCCUACGGGAGGCAGCAGUGGAGAAUAUUGCACAAUGGGCGGAAGCCUGAUGCAGCAACGCCGCGUGCGGGAUGACGGCCUUCGGGUUGUAAACCGCUUUCGCCUGUGACGAAGCGUGAGUGACGGUAAUGGGUAAAGAAGCACCGGCUAACUACGUG
rnacentral:rRNA from 1 species